UACAGAGGUCUCAAGCGUUGUUCGGAUUCAUUGGGCGUAAAGAGCGCGUAGGCGGUCCGAUAAGUCGGCUGUGAAAGUCAAGGCUCAACCCUUGAAAGCCGGCCGAUACUGUCGGACUAGAGUCCGGAAGAGGCGAGUGGAAUUCCGGUGUAGCGGUGAAAUGCGCAGAUAUCGGAGGAACACCAAUGGCGAAGGCAGCUCGCUGGGACGGUACUGACGCUGAGGCGCGAAAGCGUGGGAGCAACAGGG
rnacentral:rRNA from 1 species